rnacentral:rRNA from 1 species
GACUCUCGCAACGGAUAUCUCGGCUCUCGCAUCGAUGAAGAACGUAGCGAAAAUACUGAUUUUGUGAAUUGCAGAAUCCGUGAACCAUCGAGUCUUUGAACAUGCAUGCGCGGAAGCCGUUAGGCCGAGGGCACGUCUGCCUGGGCGUCA